rnacentral:rRNA from 1 species
AACGAACGCUGGCGGCAGGCCUAACACAUGCAAGUCGAGCGGACCCUUCGGGGUUAGCGGCGGACGGGUGAGUAACGCGUGGGAAUAUGCCCUUCUCUACGGAAUAGUCCUGGGAAACUGGGGUUAAUACCGUAUACGCCCUUUGGGGGAAAGAUUUAUCGGGGAAGGAUUAGCCCGCGUUGGAUUAGGUAGUUGGUGGGGUAAUGGCCUACCAAGACGACGAUCCAUAGCUGGUUUGAGAGGAUGAUCAGCCACACUGGGACUGAGACACGGCCCAGACUCCUACGGGAGGCAGCAGUGGGGAAUCUUAGACAAUGGGGGCAACCCUGAUCUAGCCAUGCCGCGUGAGUGAUGAAGGCCUUAGGGUUGUAAAGCUCUUUCAGCUGGGAAGAUAAUGACGGUACCAGCAGAAGAAGCCCCGGCUAACUCCGUG